GAUGAACGCUGGCGGCGUGCCUAAUACAUGCAAGUCGAGCGAACAGACGAGGAGCUUGCUCCUCUGACGUUAGCGGCGGACGGGUGAGUAACACGUGGAUAACCUACCUAUAAGACUGGGAUAACUUCGGGAAACCGGAGCUAAUACCGGAUAAUAUAUUGAACCGCAUGGUUCAAUAGUGAAAGACGGUUUUGCUGUCACUUAUAGAUGGAUCCGCGCCGCAUUAGCUAGUUGGUAAGGUAACGGCUUACUAAGGCAACGAUGCGUAACCGACCUGAGAGGGUGAUCGGCCACACUGGAACUGAGACACGGUCCAGACUCCUACGGGAGGCAGCAGUAGGGAAUCUUCCGCAAUGGGCGAAAGCUUGACGGAGCAACGCCGCGUGAGUGAUGAAGGUCUUCGGAUCGUAAAACCCUGUUAUUAGGGAAGAACAAAUGUGUAAGUAACUAUGCACGUAUUGACGGUACCUAAUCAGAAAGCCACGGCUAACUACGUG
rnacentral:rRNA from 1 species